rnacentral:lncRNA from 1 species
UGCUCUGUAUUUGCACGACGUACCCCAACAUACAUGUCACAACCAUCAACAUUCACUCACACACAACAAACCACAUGAUACAAUAAUCAUUCAAUCACAUAUGUUUCCACAAUAUAUAGCUAGCCAUCCUUAAGAUGAUGCAAUGCACAAUUAUUUCUAUUAGUUGAAAGCGUUUUCCAUCCGAAAACCUAUAUUGAAAUACUAAGUUAACGAAAAGCUCAAAAAAAUCUUUUAAAAACUGUUUUCUAUACGGAAACUUUUAUUUUUACCACAAUAAGUGAAAAACUGUUUUACAUAAAUCCACAAGCAUUUUCAAAACAGCACUUUUUAAACUCCAAAACAAAUUUAUCACAAGAGUCAAAACCUACUGAACCAUAAUAACAUCUAAUCACUAAUAAGAGUAGGGGUAGGGAAUGAAACCAAAAGCUACAAGUAAUCUCGGGACUACUACAGCUCUCUAGCUAUCGCGCCUCACGCACCGUCCUAACUCCCACCGCCCAAAUCACCUGAAAAAGAGAGGGGUGAGAAACCAAAAAAG